rnacentral:tRNA from 1 species
GAGGGUAGAGCUCAGUGGUAGAGUGUGUGCUUAGCAUGCACAAGGUCUGAGAUUCAAGCCCCAGUACUCUCA